GUUGGCUUAGAAGCAGCCAUCAUUUAAAGAAAGCGUAAUAGCUCACUGGUCGAGUCGGCCUGCGCGGAAGAUGUAACGGGGCUAAACCAUGCACCGAAGCUGCGGCAGCGAACGUAUCACCCAAGACAACUUUACGGAGUUGACGAUUGACGGAGCGAAGCGACGUCAAAGCGUUCAUUAAAGUCGAGUUGGCUUAGGGAUACGUUCGUUGGGUAGGGGAGCGUUCUGUAAGCCCGUGAAGGUGGCCUGUGAGGGUUGCUGGAGGUAUCAGAAGUGCGAAUGCUGACAUAAGUAACGAUAAAGCGGGUGAAAAGCCCGCUCGCCGGAAGACCAAGGGUUCCUGUCCAACGUUAAUCGGGGCAGGGUGAGUCGACCCCUAAGGCGAGGCCGAAAGGCGUAGUCGAUGGGAAACGGGUUAAUAUUCCCGUACUUGGUGUUACUGCGAAGGGGGGACGGAGAAGGCUAUGUUGGCCGGGCGACGGUUGUCCCGGUUUAAGCGUGUAGGUGUGUGUUCCAGGUAAAUCCGGUUCACUUUAACACUGAGGCGUGACGACGAGGCACUACGGUGCUGAAGCAACAAAUGCCCUGCUUCCAGGAAAAGCCUCUAAGCAUCAGGUAACAUCAAAUCGUACCCCAAACCGACACAGGUGGUCAGGUAGAGAAUACCAAGGCGCUUGAGAGAACUCGGGUGAAGGAACUAGGCAAAAUGGUGCCGUAACUUCGGGAGAAGGCAC
rnacentral:rRNA from 1 species